rnacentral:rRNA from 1 species
UACGGAGGGUGCAAGCGUUAUCCGGAAUCACUGGGUUUAAAGGGUGCGUAGGCGGCGUUGUAAGUCAGUGGUGAAAGUUUGCAGCUUAACUGUAAAAUUGCCAUUGAUACUGCAGUGCUUGAGUACAGAUGAGGUGGGCGGAAUGUGUCAUGUAGCGGUGAAAUGCAUAGAUAUGACACAGAACACCGAUUGCGAAGGCAGCUCACUAAACUGUAACUGACGCUGAGGCACGAAAGCGUGGGGAUCAAACAGG